UACAGAGGGUGCAAGCGUUGUUCGGAAUUAUUGGGCGUAAAGCGCGUGUAGGCGGCUUUGCAAGUCGGGUGUGAAAGCCCUCGGCUCAACCGAGGAAGUGCGCCCGAAACUGCAGAGCUUGAGUACCGGAGAGGAUGGCGGAAUUCCCCAAGUAGAGGUGAAAUUCGUAGAUAUGGGGAGGAACACCGGUGGCGAAGGCGGCUUUCUGGACAGAUACCGACGCUGAGGCACGAAAGCUAGGGGAGCAAACAGG
rnacentral:rRNA from 1 species